GGACCUGACUGCUAUCGGAUUGAUACUAAGCCAUGCGAGUCAUUGUAGCAAUACAAGGCAUACGGCUCAGUAACGCGUAGUCAACCUAACCUAUGGACGGGAAUAACCUCGGGAAACUGAGAAUAAUGCCCGAUAGAACAUUAUGCCUGGAAUGGUUUAUGUUCCAAAUGAUUUAUCGCCGUAGGAUGGGACUGCGGCCUAUCAGUUUGUUGGUGAGGUAAUGGCCCACCAAGACUAUUACAGGUACGGGCUCUGAGAGGAGUAGCCCGGAGAUGGGUACUGAGACACGGACCCAGGCCCUGUGGGGCGCAGCAGGCGAGAAAACUUUGCAAUGUGCGAAAGCACGACAAGGUUAAUCCGAGUGGUUUCUGCUAAAGAAACCUUUUGUCAGUCCUAGAAACACUGAUGAAUAAGGGGUGGGCAAGUUCUGGUGU
rnacentral:rRNA from 1 species